GACGAACGCUGGCGGCGUGCUUAACACAUGCAAGUCGAACGAAGUGGCGAACGGGUGAGUAACGCGUAAUCAACCUGCCCUUCAGAGGGGGACAACAGUUGGAAACGAAUGCUCAUACCGCAUACGGAAGGAGGGGAGUGCGUCUGAUUAGCUAGUUGGAGGGUCAACGGCCAACCAAGGCGAUGUUCAGUGACCGGUCUGGGAUGAUGAACGGCCAAAUUGGGACUGGGACACGGCCCAGACUCCUACGGGAGGCAGCCGUGGGGAAUCUUGCGCAAUGGGCGAAAGUCUGACGAAGCAACGCCGUGUGAGUGAUGACGGCCUUCGGGUUGUAAAGCUCUGUUAAUCGGGACGCGGUACCGGAAUAGAAAGCCACGGCUAACUACGUGCCAGCCGCCGCGGUAAUUC
rnacentral:rRNA from 1 species